CACAAUGCUUGAGUCCAUCCCUCAGGACAUAGAAACCAGAAUAUAGAUAAAUAUAGUCAGAUGAAAACAUGUUUUCCUCUUUGCCCACUUUAUUAUUCCCAAUACCCCCCCAGUGUACCAAUGACUCUCCACCAGCGAACAGACUCUCUUCCUGACUUCGCUCCAGUCAGCGAACUGACGCGAUGACGCAUCCGCGGCGGCUGAAAACGUUCGCGCUCAUCCGGAUACAUGAACCUGCUUCAUGGAGACAUGAGGAGGACGAGAGGAAGAAGGAGAGAGACUGGAGGAAAAGAAGAUGAAGAACUGGAGUUUGUUGUGAGUUAUAAGGGUGUGCCGGCGAGUCGCGGGACACGGACACCACCACAGAAACACUUCAGUCUUUCCAGUCGCCACUUCCAGAGAGAGUGACGAGUUGCAGGACACGAGUUGGGACCAUCAGCUGACCAGUUGCCAUUUAAAAAAAAAAAAACACUUCAGUCUUUCCAGUCGUCACUUCCAGAGAGAAAAUUAAAGAAAGAAAUUCUGCAGCCAGCCACAGACCGCGGACCCUGAGGCUCCCCUGACCCAAAACCCGCCAGCCACGGCCCCCGGACAAUCAGACGCUGCUGUAACCAUCUUGCACCGUGCUGCUGCGGUAUGUGUCUUACAUUACUCCUGUAUAGUCUAACACACAUUUAAGUCAUCCUAAUGUGCUUUUUGUAGACACUGUAGGCCUUUUUGACGGGGGCGGGAAUUUUAAAAACGGCUACCGCAGCAUGUCGUCUUCUCGGCCGAGGGGUCGUGAAGGCCACGAUUAUGAAUAUAAACGGAGCUCAACUUCUUUCAUCUCACUCUUUACUGUAUUCUUCGCUACAGCGGUUCCCAACCUGGAGCCCGGGACCCCCACUAGGGGUCGCCAAAGCUUCACAGGGUGUCGCAACUUAAACAGGUGCUAGAAAAGUGUACACUUUUAUUGUGGGUUUAUUGUAGUUUUAAUUUUAAUAUGAAAUACCCCUCAAAUAUGUCCCCAAGCAGGGGUCGUCAGUUUACUAAAUUAUAUAUAUCAUAAUGUGUCUAUAUUGCCGUAUAUGAGUAGCAUGUCCUAUCUGGCUCCAUGUCAGUACUAAUAUCUCUCUCUCUCUCUCUCUCUCUCUCUCUCUCUCUCUCUCUCUCGUCCUGCUUCCUGGAUCCCCCCUCUGCUCUUGGAGGGGGGACCCGAUUGUUCUGAUGUGUGUUGCCAGUGUAAAUGCUCAAUAAAAUUAUUUUAAAAUCCAUAACCCCCUGCUUCCAUCUCUCCGGGAGGAGACACGGCCCCCUCCAUUCCCUCUGCAGCGGGGUGAGACUCCAGGAACCCAGCACCCAAAGUGCUGCCAGUAGUUUUUAAUUCAGAUUCAGAUUAUCGGAUUAGUUGUUUUUAUUAUUUUGGUUCUGCAUCCCAAUGACAGGAAACAUUUUUUUUUAAUUUUUUGUUUUAACAACAUCCAUCACCUUAGAGUUUUCAAAUUCCCCAUAUAUCUUAAUCUCCUGUUUUCAAAUACAGAUUGGACCCCAGUAUUGGGAUAAUCCAAAUGGCUGCUGUGUGUGGGCAAGGAUUCAGUGACAAAUGGUCGAUUCUGACCACUGCAGUAGCUGCGUAUGCCACUAGGGGAGCUCUGACGUCAUCAAUUUCUUGCCGAAAGUGCACUUGUGGCGGCGUCUGCCAACCUCCCCUUGGCACAACAACAUAAAAAGCUUCAAACAUUUGAGCAAAAUUUCAGCCGCUCGUGGCUCUGUGUCCGAUAACCCCCUGCUUUGAUCACUCCGGAGCAUCGGGAGGGGACAAGGCCCCCUCCCUCACCCACCGCCGUGGGAUCGAUAGUCCAGGAACCGGCCGGGUGGUAUUCGAACCAGCGGUUCCUCCACUGGCCGACCCUACGGUCACGAGACGAAGCCACCACGCCACCGAGCCCCCUUCGCACUAGAACCUGCUCUCUGGGCGCUUUCAUAAGGGAAUCGACCCCAUGUCCUCAGGAGUGUCCAUUAACCUACUAACACACUGCGCUAUGUGUACGCAGACGCUUCUUCCUUGUUUCUUAGGGGCCUUCAGUCUUCUUCUUGGUGUUGAAUUUCAAAAUUCACAACGUCAAAGGUUUGAACCCACAACCUCCGAACUUCCACAAAGCCGUCUAACACCUUGAGCUGUUUGAUCUGAGACGCUGGGGAGUUUUUUUUACUGUUUCCUUCAGACAACCGACUUCAAAAUUCACAUAUUGGGAUAAACAUGAAAACCACAACCUCGGAACUUCCUGACAGUCCAUCAGCACCGCGAGAUAUCUGACACGAUUUCUUCUUGGUGUUUGAUUUCAAAACUUUCAAAUUCAAUUGGGGAUUGAACCCACAACCUCAGAGGUUCCAAUCACUUACCUAACCCCUUGAGCUAUUAGAUUGGACACUGAAUUUUUUUUUUCUCAUAUUUGACCUUUUCUUCUACAUUGUUCAACUUCAAACUUCAGUUCAUUCAAAAAUAAACAAGGAUUGAACCCUCGACUUGCAAGUUACUAGUCAGUCUCCUAACGCCUUGAGCUAUUGGAUCAGACAUAUUUCAGAUUUUUUCGUCUGAAGUUUUCACUUUAUCCUUUAUCCUUAUACGUUUUUUGAGUUUGAUCCUCAAUCACGUAUAUGAAUUUUGAAGUCAUGCCACUUCUUAUCAUGUCAUAUACGUGACUGAGGAUCAAACGGACAUCCACAAAACCUAUAUGUCCAUAGAAGCCUCUUGUCCUGUCCAACUUUGAAGUUCAAAGUGUAGAAGAAAAAGUCAAAAGCUCAAAUGAAAAACAAAAUCACAUGUCUAACUAAAUAGCUCAUGGUGUUAGAAGAAUAACUGGAAGCUCUGAGUCUGAGGGUUCAAACCUCAGUCAACUCUAUGACUUUUGAAGUGAAAUGUUCGGAGAUAAAGGUCAAAUAUAUAUUUAAAAAAAGGAAAGGGUAACUGAACAAAUAGCUCAAGGUGUAAUGAGGGUGAAUGGUAGUUCAGAAGACAUGGGUUUGAUUCUUAUUAAAAACUUCUGAAUUUUGAAGUUAGACAUCCAGAGGAAAAGAUGUAAAGAGCAUCAAGUCAGAUAGCUUCUGGUGUUAGGAGGUUGACUGAAAGAGAUUGAUCUUCACUACAAUUUAUGAAAUGUGAAGUGGGAUGCAGAAAUGAGAAAAGUGAAAAGGUCUAAGCCUUGUCUCAGGACAAAUAGCUCACAGUGUUAGAAGGCUGGUUGGAGGUUUGGAGGAUGUGGGUUCAAACCUUGCUGAAAUCUUUAAAGUUGGCUGAGGCCAAGUGAGUUUUGUGGUCCAGCAGCCAAAGUAAAAAGAUAAAAGCGCCCGGAGAAGAUGUUCUAGCGUGAAGGGAGCUUGGUGGCGAGGUGUGGAUGGUUGUAGCCAGAAGGCAGAAGUGUCUGGUUUGAGUCCCGCUCGGUGCUGGGUUCCUGGAGUCUCACCCCGCUGCAGAGGGAGAGGAGGGGACCGUGUCCCCUCCCAGGUUUCCGGAGAGAUAGCAGCAGGGGAUUAUGGAUUUUAAAAUACAUUUUAUUGAAGACAAAUGCAUGGGGCACCCCUCUCCCUCCUCCUCCGACCAGUUGGCAAUUUCCACAAGGAAGACAUGAAGGCUUCUUUGCAGAAAAUCCCAACUGGUCCGCUGAUGGUCCCAACUCACGGUCCGCCUAUAUUAUAUUACUGUAUACUGUAUUAUAUUAGACACUACUGUAUUAUAUUAGACACAACUAUAUUAGACACAACUAUAUUAUAUUAGACACUACUGUACUAUAUUAGACACUACUGUAUUAUAUUAGACACAACUAUAUUAGACACAACUAUAUUAUAUUAGACACUACUGUACUAUAUUAGACACUACUGUAUUAUAUUAGACACAACUAUACUAUAUUAGACACAACUAUAUUAUAUUAGACAACUAUAUUAUAUUAGACACUACUAUACUAUAUUAGACACAACUAUACUAUAUUAGACACAACUAUAUUAUAUUAGACAACUAUAUUAUAUUAGACACUACUGUAUUAUAUUAGACACUACUAUACUAUAUCAAACACUACUAUCUUAAAUUGCACCAACAAUAUCUUCAGACUACGUCUGAGUUUUUGAGGUGUUUGUAACAGAAACCUGCAACAAACACAAUAUUCACUCACUCUCUCUGGAAUUGGCGACUGGAAAGACUGAAGUGUUUGUGUCCCACGACUCGCCCGCACACCCUGGAGGCAGGAGAGAGAGAGAGUGCAGGUGAUCAGUACAGACAUGGAGCCACAUCGGACAUUAUCCAUUUUCAGCAGAUUAUUUUCUGUUUAGGGAACUUUUUAGACAAUUUUGCAUCUGUAUUAUUAUUAUUAUUUAUUUUUACCAAUCAUACAGACUUAAUAGGCUUUUUUCUUUUGACAAAAUCAGUGUUUUUCUGACCCUGACUCUUGCCCAUUGUUCUAUUAGACAAUUUGCCUGAUGUUUACUUUUCUUCACAGAUGUGAACCAAAUGCUGAGAUAUUAUCUUUAAUGGUUUCUAGCACCCCUUAAAAUCAAGAAGGCCUUGCGACACCCGAUGAAACUUUGGUGACCCCUUUAAGUUUAGAUGAUUAUUGAAGACAUUAAAAACAUUACAUUUAAAGGUGAGUUAAGUGAUCGUUGGUAAUGCUAAAUUCAAAUCCAAUCCACUUUUUCCAAAUGGAGUGAAUAUCUCCUCACGGUCUGCUAGCUUUCUGCUCUGUGUGCAGUGAAAUAAAUGUGGUAUUUGAAAACAGGAGAUGUGAUCCGACCAAAUUGAGAUAUGGAUUUGUUAAUCCACAAUCCAGAUAAAAUGUUGUUUUUGGGUUGAUACCAUCAUAAAGGUUUGUAUUUAUUUUAUUUAUUUAACAUUUUCUGAGAGUUUUACACAUGAAAGUGAAUAGCUACUAAUGGGUAUACAGUACAUACACUCUUUUCUAUGUUAUUCUUUCUAAGCUCUGAUGCAGACAAUGUAAGUUUGCUGCUCACUUUGAGUUCUGCUACAAUCAGAUCAUAAUUAGGUGGCAAUACUGAAUGCUAUUUUUGGAUUUUCAAUAAAAUAUACUUGCUUCAACAUGAAAUGAGUUGUGUGGUCAAUAUUACAAAGACAAUCUAAGAAAUCUCUGGGUCCUUUAACGCAUGAACCAAACAAAGGCCUCCAACCCUGUGGAGAUGCUGCAUGGCUCAGCUGAACAUGUGGUCCAGCUAGUUUAGUGAGUGCAGUCAGAAUGAACACUGCCUACAACCUGAUGCACACAUUAUCUGCACUAAUAGGACACAAUCUGAGCUUCAA